AACGAACGCUGGCGGCAUGCCUAACACAUGCAAGUCGAGCGAGCACUUCGGGUCCUUUGGCGCCCGGGUGCGUAACGCGUGGGAUGAUGAACUCAGGUUUGGAAUAACUACCAGACAGGGGUGAUUAUACCAGACAAUGUCUACGGCCCAAAAAUUUAUCGAAUUUGGAGGGGCAGGCGUUGGAUUAGCUAGUUCGUAGGGUAAAAGCCUACCAAGGCGACGAUACAUAGCUGGUCUGAGAGGCUGAUCAGCGACACUGGGACUGGGACACGGCCGGGAAUCCUACGAAAGGCAGCAAUGCGGAAUAUUGGACAAUGGGCGAAAGACUGAUCCAGCAAUGCCGCGAGAGUGAUGAAGUCCUUAAGGUUGUAAAGCGCAUGUACCCGUGAUGAUAUUGACGGUACCUAGUGAGUAAGCUACGGCUAACUACGUG
rnacentral:rRNA from 1 species